GAUGAACGCUAGCGAUAGGCUUAACACAUGCAAGUCGAGGGGCAGCACGGUGUAGCAAUACACUGGUGGCGACCGGCGUACGGGUGCGUAACACGUAUGCAACCUACCCGCUAUUGGGGGAUAACCCGGCGAAAGUCGGACUAAUAUCCCAUAUUAUUCUUACCGGGCAUCCGGUGAGUCUGAAAGAUUUAUCGAUUGCGGAUGGGCAUGCGGAUGAUUAGCUAGUAGGUGGGGUAACGGCUCACCUAGGCGACGAUCAUUAGGGGUUCUGAGAGGAAGGUCCCCCACACUGGAACUGAGACACGGUCCAGACUCCUACGGGAGGCAGCAGUGAGGAAUAUUGGUCAAUGGGCGCUAGCCUGACCAGCCAAGUCGCGUGAAGGAUGACAGAUCUAUGGUUUGUAAACUUCUUUUGUCAGGGGAGUAAAGUGCGACACGUGUGUUGUAUUGCAAGUACCCUGCGAAUAAGCAUCGGCUAACUCCGUGCC
rnacentral:rRNA from 1 species